GUGUUUAUAGCCUAGUGUUUAUAGCGCCUCAGAUGUGGGAGGUCGUGGGUUCGAACCCCGUUUGAGACA